rnacentral:rRNA from 1 species
GAUGAACGCUGGCGGCGUGCUUAAUACAUGCAAGUCGAGCGAACAGAUGAGGAGCUUGCUCCUCUGACGUUAGCGGCGGACGGGUGAGUAACACGUGGCUAACCUACCUAUAAGACUGGGAUAACUUCGGGAAACCGGAGCUAAUACCGGAUAAUAUAUUGAACCGCAUGGUUCAAUAGUGAAAGACGGUUUUGCUGUCACUUAUAGAUGGAUCCGCGCCGCAUUAGCUAGUUGGUAAGGUAACGGCUUACCAAGGCAACGAUGCGUAGCCGACCUGAGAGGGUGAUCGGCCACACUGGAACUGAGACACGGUCCAGACUCCUACGGGAGGCAGCAGUAGGGAAGCUUCCGCAAUGGGCGAAAGCCUGACGGAGCAACGCCGCGUGAGUGAUGAAGGUCUUCGGAUCGUAAAACUCUGUUAUUAGGGAAGAACAAAUGUGUAAGUAACUAUGCACGUCUUGACGGUACCUAAUCAGAAAGCCACGGCUAACUACGUG